AAAAAAUAAUGGUAUUUAAAGGAAAAAAAAAAGUUCUAACCAACAGUGGCCAAAGGAAAAAAAAAAUGGACAUCACUUAUCAUCAUUAGUCAUUACAUUACAACUUACAAAUGGCCUAGAAAGUAGAAAGUAAGUAACAAAAAGAAAGCUAGCUUGGUUUUUCUAAAAAAAAAAAUAGAAAGAAAUAGGAUAGAAGUAAUUUCCCCUGCUCAUCCUUACUUUCCAAAAGCAAAAGAAAUUAUUUUCCCCUGCUCAUCCUUUCUUUCCAAAAGAAAAAUCUGUUCUCAUCCAUAAGCAAUUGUUAAUCUCUCACUAUGAUGACUUAAUGCUCCUUCUUUCAAGUCCUCAUCCAUGUCAUAAAGCACCUCAGAUUAUGAUGCCCAUGUAAGCACCUCAGAUUAUUAUCGCCUACAAGAAACUCAUGAACUAUGCUCUUUACUCUAUGGGAAUCAUAGAGUUCUUCUCUUGGGUAAGAGAAAGGGGAAACAUCAAAGGAGUAUAGAACUAAGAAGACAUCUAUUGAAGAACAUCUCUUAUUCAACAAAGCUUUUUCCAUUAUUGCUCACAAUUGAAGUGAAAAGAUAGAGUCCUCAUUGAUGUUAAUCGGUAUCGAAAAUCUCGAAUGAGCAGUCCUUCCUCCACUAAGAAGAAGGGAAGCAAUGCCGCUUGAAGCAACAUUAAGAACAAUUUCACCUUGGGAACGAAGAGCAGCUGACAAAGUUCUCCAGACAAAGGUUUUCCCUGUGCCACCAAAACCAUUAAGGAAGAACACUCCACCUUCGCCUCUUGAAACUGCAUUCAUUAUUUUAUCAUAAACACCCUUUUGCUCCUCUGUUAAGCUCAAUAGGAGUUGAUUGUGCUCUACACGUAGAGAAUCCUUGUCAUAGCUAAGUUCCUCAUGUAUCAGCCUAUUGUACCCAUUGCAUAUAGUUCCAUAAUCUGGAAAAGGCAUGUCAUCAUAUUUUCUAAGGCUACACCCAUUACUUCGCAAGAUUUUCUCAAUUUCAACCAAAGCAUAAUUCCUCAGUUGAUCAUCAGAGAGCUGCAAAUCUUUAGGGUAACAAAUAAUCUUAAAGACAUCAGGAUAAUUAUACAUAAGGAAUAAAAAUGAAAUUGGAAGUAUGUUACAAAAAAGCGCAGCAGGUGAGGUGUUUACAUACCAUUAUUUUGCAUGAUAUUCCGUUGCCUAUGGAUAAUAUCUUCAGAUAGGAGACGCCAUGUUUUCUCCCACACAAAAUCAGGUCUUGAUAAGCUGUCCGAUAUUAAAAGCAUAGCAAAUAAUGAACGCAAAUAAUGUCCAGUACCCCAAAAGCUUGCCUCAUGAAUCCCUUCAAUGUAUUCCUUGUCAUCAUCUAACAACCCCAAAGCAUAGCAUGCUUCUUUAAAUGUCGGGUAUACCACUCCGUCAACUGUGCGAAUAUCCUCAUAACAUGUAGCACCUUUGACUUUAUUUAAUAAAAUUCGUAAAUAAUAACUCUCACCACAUGUAGGAGGGACAUGAUGAAUUCUACCUAUGCUGAAGUGUUUUUUUCUAAGUGUCCAUUCUUUGUCUUUUUGUUGCCACACAAACUUUGUAGGGAAUUCUGCGUAACUUAGUUUUCUUGCAAUUGGGCAGAUCUUAUUACGCUCCAUCCAAGCUGUAAACAUAGAAUGUUCAAUGCCAGGUCUAUCAAUGACCCUCUGAAUGGAGUCCCUCUCCUCAAAGACAAUAUUCUGCUCCCCAGGAAGGUGAAAGUUCAGUCUUUCAACCGCUGGACUUCGAAAGUGUAUGUCGAAGCCAAAUAUUCUCCAAGCCGCUUCACAAGAUGAAGUAAUUGUUCUGUUUUCUAUGAAAUGCUUCCCACUUUUCAAUUGAACCGAGCUGCUCAUUUGGUAUCCAUUACUUGAUGAUGAACCAAUUUCCCAAAAAACACUUGAUGAUGAAGGCGUUAGUAUACCUGUAAAAUACAUAGAUGCCAAUGCAUACAUCUUGUUGUUCAAUUCAUGACUUGAUGGAGAGCAUUCAUAUUGAUCCAAAACACUUGAUUGAGGUGUGAUUGAGACUACUACAUUAUAGAGAUUUUGUAGACUGAAAUGAUGGAUACAUAUUGCACAUUUUGGAUUGAGUAUGGGUGUUUUCUGCAGUACAUCAUAUAAUGAAAGUAUCAGCUAACCAUUGAGCCUCAAAAGUUUGAAGGAAGAUAGUUUGCAAGGUUGGUCAGAGCCUUCCUAUCUGGCAUGACUCAUUUCAACAUGCUAUUGACAUCUCAACAAACAAUGGAAGAUAUAAAGCUUCGGUCUCACAGGACACAAGGACACCCCCUUCUUGAUGAAUGAGAAUUGCAUUGGAAAUCAAACAUAUUGUAAUGUUAGUUUAUUGGGCCCCUACAAGGCUACAACUAUUCAAGAUAUGUAGAAGAUGAUUGGUUUUGUCUCUUCCUAAUUAUUUCUGUUGAAUCCUUUACGGUGGCCUACAAAACAUUUAGUAAGUGGGGUUCAAGUUUUUUCCCUUGAAAUGCCACAUAGGAUAGCUUUUCCUUUUUAUUAUUUCAAUAUUUUUUUGAGGAGAUUUCUAGUAGGUAAAUGAAAUGGGCGGGAAUUAGAAGAACAUAUUCAUGCCACCUAGGAUAAUUUUGGGGGGAAAACUGAACCAUGUUUUCUCUUUUAGUAUAUAGUAAUAGAUAGGAGGUACUUGUAAUACUUUUUUACUUUCUCAUCAAAUAAUAAAAUGUAGUUCUUUAUU